AGAGUUUGAUCAUGGCUCAGGAUGAACGCUAGCUACAGGCUUAACACAUGCAAGUCGAGGGGAAACGACAUCGAAAGCUUGCUUUUGAUGGGCGUCGACCGGCGCACGGGUGAGUAACGCGUAUCCAACCUGCCCACCACUUGGGGAUAACCUUGCGAAAGUAAGACUAAUACCCAAUGAUAUCUCUAGAAGACAUCUGAAAGAGAUUAAAGAUUUAUCGGUGAUGGAUGGGGAUGCGUCUGAUUAGCUUGUUGGGCGGGGUAACGGCCCACCAAGGCGACGAUCAGGUAGGGGUUCUGAGAGGGAAGGUCCCCCACAUUGGAACUGGAGACACGGUCCAAACUCCCGUACGGGAGGCA
rnacentral:rRNA from 1 species